ensembl:snRNA U2 U2 spliceosomal RNA
AUCUUUUCCCCAGCCUUUUGGAGAAGACCAAGUAUAGCAUCUGUUCUUAUCAGUUUAGUAUCUGCUACAUUCUCUAUCAGAGGACAAUAUAUUAAAUGUAUUUUUGAAGCUGGGAGAUGGAACAGGAGCUUGCUCUGUCCACUCCUUGCAUUAACCUGGUACAGUAGAACUUCUAAGAACAGUAUCUCCCCA